AUUUACCACCUCUUUUGCAGGGUGUCUUUACUCUCCGGUGGCGAAUAUAAGAGUGGCUACUGCUCUUGCAGUGGGUCUGUUCUUUGGUGGGAGGGGGGAAUUGACCGGAUUUGUGGACCAUUCCGAUAUUUUUUUUUUUCUAUCUUGUUUCCCUUUUUCCAUGCCCUGGAAUGUUUCCCUGUAUUCCACGCUGCAGUGCCAGCAGUUCCCUGAGCAGAUAGUCUGGCUGUCUAAACAAACGCGCCUUUGACAGUGUUGUGCUCUGAACACAGGAUGUGCGGUAUUUCAUAGGAGUCCAUCCAUAGAACCCCCUGUACCGCAGGCACUGCCUUCCUGGUAUGGCGUGGGCUCUGGAUGCUCUUGGUGUGACUCCAGGUGGGACCUGAUGAUCACCAGUUCACUCCGCGGUGGUAGAUGUUACAUGAGACAGAUGUAGCCGCGUUGCUAGCUAGCAGUGGUUCUCGGCUGCCUCGUAGAGAAGCAGCCAUCCCAGCACUCAGGAUUUCGUUUUCGAUUUGCCACUGAGCCACGCGGAGCUAAAGGCCUCCAGCGACCUUCUGGGAGGAGAAAAGGAAAGACGCCCGG